CAGUAGCCACGGUAAUACGGAGGGUGCAAGCGUUAUCCGGAUUUAUUGGGUUUAAAGGGUCCGUAGGCGGACUUAUAAGUCAGUGGUGAAAGCCUGUCGCUUAACGAUAGAACUGCCAUUGAUACUGUAAGUCUUGAGUAUAUUUGAGGUAGCUGGAAUAAGUAGUGUAGCGGUGAAAUGCAUAGAUAUUACUUAGAACACCAAUUGCGAAGGCAGGUUACCAAGAUAUAACUGACGCUGAGGGACGAAAGCGUGGGUAGCGAACAGGAUUAGAGACCCCAGUAGUCCCUGUUUCUUAUAA
rnacentral:rRNA from 1 species